AUUUACACAAACAUCUUAAGAGGGUGCAUCCAAACAGCUACGCGUCAUAUGAGGCCAUGAAAUCAAAAGUGGCAAAAAAGGAAGAGAAUAAAUUAUCAGAGCCUAAGCAAGCAAAUUUUUUCUGUUUCCAAAGUUCAAGCAAGCUAAACAACAAAAUUUGCGACUAUAUUAUCGCUGAAAUACGUAUUCGAAACCUUAGUUAUGCUUAAAAAACCCAUUAAUUAAGUAAGUUAAUCAUACUAUAAAAGUUUUUGUAAGUUUAAAUAUGAACUGUUAUUUUAUUUUAAAAAAGUACC
rnacentral:sRNA from 1 species